rnacentral:rRNA from 1 species
AAGUCGUAACAAGGUUUCCGUAGGUGAACCUGCGGAAGGAUCAUUACUGAAUUGUCAAACGGGUUGUUGCUGGCCCUCAUAGGGGGCAUGUGCACGCUCUGUUUACACAUCCACUCACACCUGUGCACCCUCUGUAGUUCUAUGGUCUGGGGGACCCUGUCUUCCUUCUGUGGUUCUACGUCUUUACACACACACUGUAAUAAAGUUUUAUGGAAUGUACAUCGCGUCUAACGCAAUACAAUACAACUUUCAGCAACGGAUCUCUUGGCUCUCGCAUCGAUGAAGAACGCAGCGAAAUGCGAUAAGUAAUGUGAAUUGCAGAAUUCAGUGAAUCAUCGAAUCUUUGAACGCACCUUGCGCCCCUUGGCUAUUCCGAGGGGCAUGCCUGUUUGAGUAUCAUGAACACCUCAACUCUCAUGGUUUGCCAUGAUGAGUUGGACUCUGGGGGUUUUGCUGGCCUGUGGUCGGCUCCUCUCAAAUUAAUCAGCCUCCCAGUGUUUGGUGGCAUCACGGGUGUGAUAAAUAUCUACGCUCGCUGUUGUCUGCCAGGUAACCUUUGGUCACAAAGGUUUGCUGGAGCUCACAGAUGUCUCUCCUCAGCGAGGACAGCUUUUUUAACGUUCGAUCUCAAAUCAGGUAGGACUACCCGCUGAACUUAAGCAUAUCA